GAUGAACGCUAGCGGCAGGCCUAACACAUGCAAGUCGAGGGGUAGCAGGAUUAAGCUUGCUUAAUUGCUGACGACCGGCGCACGGGUGCGUAACGCGUAUGCAACCUACCUUAUACUGGGGUAUAGCCCGGAGAAAUUCGGAUUAAUCCCCCAUAGUACUAAUGAAUCGCAUGGUUUAUUAGUUAAAGCAUUGCGGUAUAAGAUGGGCAUGCGUCCUAUUAGCUAGAUGGUGAGGUAACGGCUCACCAUGGCUACGAUAGGUAGGGGGCCUGAGAGGGUGGUCCCCCACACUGGUACUGAGACACGGACCAGACUCCUACGGGAGGCAGCAGUGAGGAAUAUUGGUCAAUGGGCGCGAGCCUGAACCAGCCAUGCCGCGUGCAGGAAGAAUGCCCUAUGGGUUGUAAACUGCUUUUAUUUGGGAAUAAACCUCUUUACGUGUAGAGAGCUGAAGGUACCAAAUGAAUAAGCGCCGGCUAACUCCGUGCCAGCCGCCGCAGUAA
rnacentral:rRNA from 1 species